rnacentral:lncRNA from 1 species
CUAUAAUGAAGAUGUUGAAAACCAGAGCAAACUCAACUAUUGGGAUCUCCAACAAAGCUCCGAUCGUACAUGUAUGCGACACUCAUAGACGAAACCACUGCUUACAGUCGAAGUAACAUUUUAUCAGAUUCAUAGACAACGACUUUAAGUGUAAGUAGAUGGGAUGUAACGUAUGUUGUUUCCUGUGGAAAGCAUUUGCACACAUUUUAUGAAGGAUGAAAUCACAUGUCAUAUAUGAAUAAAAAUUACUCUCAUGGACACAUGCUUGAAAAAACACUUUUUAUAGGUGUUUUCAUCAUAAAUUUUAUGACGUUAACAAGUUUUUUCAAGCAGUACAAUGUCCUAUCUAAGGUAAUUACUAUUCAUGUAUGGAAUGUGAUUUCAUGCUACAUGAAACAUGUACAAAUGCUCCUCGCAGAAAACAACAUGCGUUACAUCCCCAUAUAUCGACUUAUACUUAAAGUCGUUGUAAAUGGAUAUGAUGAUUGAAAAAGAUUACUUCCACUGCAAACCUUGUUAUUGCGAUUCCAAUCACGAGUACUAUCACAUAAAGGAUAUUGUCACUUCCGACUAGAUUUACGGUGUGCUUGGUUACCGAGGCUAUGAGCAAUCAUUUAUUCCUAGCUUUAUACCCAAGAGCGCCACGAUGCCAUGUCUGAAAAUAGAUAAGUACUAUCAUUAGUUACUAAGAUCGAAUGUGAAUUUCUUGAAACAUUACAAACAUUUUUCAUACAAACUAGUUUUCCCUACACGCAACCAUAAAUUUGCUCUAGAUCUUGUGAGUGUAAGAGUUAAAGUCAUUGGAGAUCAAACCUGGACUAUCGAUGUGAAGAAUCUCCCCGCUUGGCGAUGUGGAAGUAUCGAGUCACCGGUUAUUUCUUCACGAUUUGAUUUGUGCAUUAGGACAUGAAAAAAGAGUGUAUAAAGUAAACAAGAUGGACUUCUUGGCUAAUUUUUCACAUCUUGAAGAUUUGGAUAGUUGUGAAUCUUGUGAUAAUGUUCUUCUCCUUCUUUCUCUUUACUUACUUUUAUACUAUACCUAACAAAACUCAACGUGGCUUUGCACAUGGUUGUCUUCUUAUGAUAUGAAAUACAUUAAUGUUUUCUGAUCUUGGAUCUAGAUACAGUUCGUUUGGUGACAGCCUGUUUAUAUUAAAAAAGAAAGGGACCAUUAAUUACUACAUUGUUUUCCCGUCUCGAAUCUUAUUAUGUCGGUAAGUCUUGUUUUCCAA